UGUUUCCAUACGAGAAGGUUAGGAAUUUUAUUUUUGAGAAUAAGGUUAGGAAUUUUUUGUGCUCCGUUUUUUCCCCUUUCCGCGUCCGCUGUUUUCCUUUCUGCGAAACCAUUCGCCUUCGAUCUUUGCUUCUCCAACAAUCUCCAUGGCUAGUUCUUCUUCCAGGCGGUUUAAGCGGCUUAGGAGGAGUUCAUCGGGUGGUGGUUCAGGUGUGUGCGCUUCAGGCUUGGAGUCUGUGCUGGGGACAUAGGGAUGCGUCACAUGGAACGUAUGUAGGAUAGUCGCUUGCCACUUGGGAUUGUGGCCUUUUCAGGGGUGAUGCACAAUGUUUGUGGUCUCUAUGCGUGUGCUAGAUGUCAGAUAUUCUAAUGUUUCAUAGCAACAUACAUCGGGAUAAAAACAUCAACUUCGUGUUGGGAUCUACAACUUAUGUUGGGGGAAGUUCAAUUGUAGUCACAGACAAUUCCUUUUGUUUCAUAUAUUUUAUAUUAGACUAUGGUCAUAUUAUCUUUGUUUAGUAGUUUUCCGGAUUCUUUAUCUCAUUAUUUAUUUUAAUGCACAGAGUACUUAUUUA